rfam:Rattus norvegicus chromosome 14, whole genome shotgun sequence.
GGGGAUUUAGCUCAGUGGUAGAGCGCUUGCCUAGCAAGUGCGAGGCCCUGGGUUCAGUCCCCA